rnacentral:lncRNA from 1 species
GUCACUUGGUUUUAAUAAAAUCUGAUUCUUAGUUCAAAUUAAAAUUCAAAGACAUCUUGUCUUUGAAAACGUUACAAAGCAGAAAACCAAUUUCGUUCUUGAAUUUCAAGAGUUUCAAGCAGACUUUCGUCCAUAUUAUGCAGAAGCAGAUUCGUUCUAUUAAUUCCAGGAACAGGUAUGUUAAGGCUAAAUUUUCUUUCUUUUGGCAUGAUCCAAGUAACGAUACGUAAACGUAAUGCUAUUCCAUAAGUGGUUUUACUCUUAGCAGUAAGGAUGUCUAUGUUGUUCAUUCUUGUAAAAUGACUAGUGUCUAAGCACGCGCGUUGCGCGUGUAACCUAUAUUAAUAAAUAUAAAUUUCAAAAAAUAUUUUUGAAUUAUAAAUAAAAAUUAAAUAAAAAAAAUAUAAAGUUCCUAAAAGAAGGCUACCUUUCACUUAGAGGCAUGCAUAGGAAUUUAAAGAAAUUUUUCUCGAAAUCGUACUCCAGCUUUUGAAAACUCACAAGUAAUUGUUAGAACGUUUGUGGUUAUUGUCCUGAAUAUUUUGCUUAUAAUCAUCAAAGGUAUAUGAAGGCUAGGGUAUUACUGAGGCAUCAAGUCAAAUUACCUGCUAGGUUUAUGAUUGUACUUGACAACCUAAAACUUUUCACCACCAAAUUUAUUCUUACCAAGGAUAAACUUUGUAAACUUUUCAUUCAUGAACUUCAUAUCUAAAUGGAAAAAGAAGAACAAAUAGAGAGUGGGAGAGUUGGAGGCUUCCGUGUGCUUGGAUGAAGAAAUAAGGUUGAAUCUCACAUACUAAUAAUAUACAAAAUUAAUCAAUAAAUACUUUUGGAAUACAAAGGUGUCAGAAGUUACAAAUGAUGACCUUUGAGUUUUUUAACGUAAGUUGAGUAAUCAAUCAGUUUUAUUAUCAUUAUUACUAUCCUUCAGCUAAUUAAUCAUAAGUUGUAUUAUUUCAUUUAUUUAUGCAAUGAAGAUUUUAAACUGCCGAGAGAAAAAGAAUGAUUGAGUGAGAGAGAGAAAGGUAAGGACAAGAUUGUCUUAUGACAUUCCGAAUGAUUUUAUUGACGUACUUUUUAUGCAUUGCAUUCAUGUGCAUUGACCCAUGACCAGAUGGCGUUAUAUACGCGUAUAUAUGUAAAUAUAUGUAUACGGGAUAUGGGAAAAGGUUAUGGCGUUAUAUACGCACCACCACCUGAUCAGCUGGUAUAUGAUGAUGAUGUUGCCCACAGUGGCUGAAAUAUGAUUCAAACGACGUUAUAUACGCAUAUAUGGGUAUGUAUUCAAAUGGCGUUAUAUACGCAUAUAUAUGUAUGUAUUCAAACGGCGUUAUAUACGCGUAGAUAUGUAUGUAUAUAUAUGUAUAUGGGAUAUGGGAAUGAUUAUGGCGUUAUAUACGCACCACCACCUGAUCAGCUGGUAUACGAUUAUGACUUUCCCCACAGUGACCGAUAUGAUAUGAUGGGAUGCCCUCAGAGGCUUAUGAUGUUAUGAAACAUAUACUUAUGCACAACAUGACAUUCAUACGCAUAUGCAUGACACUGAAAGUAAUUUAUGAUUUACAAAGUUAUUCGGGUUUAUGGGUUGGGUCAUGUACUCUAUAUUUCUUCCAUGUCUCUGAUGUACUUACUCAUGUGCCUUACAUACUCGGUACAUUAUUCGUACUGACGUCCUUUUUGCCUGGGGACGCUGCGUUUCAUGCCCGCAGGUCCUGAUAGAAAGGUCGAGAGCCCUCCAACUAGGCUAUCAGCUCAGCGGAAGAUGUUGGUGCGCUCCAUUUGCUUCGGAGUUGCGUAUUUGGUUAGUAUGAUUUAGACGUCUAUUGUUUAGUAUGGCGGGACUCUGACCCGACCUUUGUGACACUUAUGUACUCUUAGAGGCUUGUAGACAUAUGUCAUGUAUGUAAAAGAUUGUACGGCCUUGUCGGCCGAUAUCUUGGGUUUAUUAAUAAUCAUGUUGGCCUAUUAGGCCCGUAUGUCAUGUGUAUAUGAUAAGGUAAUAAGAAAGAUACGUUACAUUGGUACUCGGUUGAGUAAGGUACCGGGUGACUGUCGCGGCCCAUCGGUUUGGGUCGUGACAUGGCGCCUCUCGUGAAACAAGACAUGCCGGCACAAACCCUUAAGCCAUUUAAAAAACAGUUAUAAUAAUUGAUUUUUAAGUCAUAAACAACUAUAAAUCCCAAAGUAAAGAGUGAAAUAGAACAAUCGUGGAAAUAACACAGCCCGACAUUGGGGUGUCACCAGUCAUGAGCAUCUAAACAUCUGUCUAAGAGUAUGAUAAAGACUACACAGUCUAUUACACAACUAGUACAAAGGAAAGUAAAGAUAGGAAGGGGAAGCACCGGACUGCGAAUGCCAAGCAGCUACCUAGUCAACUCCGAACAAUCUGCUGGAAAGCAAUCAACCCUCGCUAGCGUGAUCCGAGACUCCUGAAUCUGCACACAGGGUGCAGGGAGUAAUGUGAGUACGCCAACUCAGUAAGUAAUAAAAGUAAAGGCAGCUGAGCAAUAAGAAAAUACGUAAAACAUAGCAAAAUGCUAUAAAGAGGUAGUAUAAAACCAGAACAAGGCAAUAAAAUAGUAAAAACUCGUAGAGACACCUUAGUUCAGUAAAAACCUCUUUAAAACAUCUUUUAGCAGAUAAACGAGUGAAUGAAAAGCAAUGAGAAAAGAUAGACACAUAAAAUCAACCCCUCGGGCACAAUACCAACAAAAUCAGCCCCUCAGGCUAUCUCACAAUCACUCAUAUCACCCUCUCGGGCAAUAACAUGGAACAACAUCAGCCCCUUGGGCUAUAUCACGUCUCACAUUAGGUACCCGUACUCACUGGGGGUGUACAGACUCCGGGAGGGGACCCUUACGGCAAAGUGCAAUAAUAAGCCAUCUCGUGUCAUAAUCAAACAGGCUCUUGGCCUCAUAUAAAUCCAUCUUAUGGCGUAGCAACUCUGGUCCUCAGCCUCAUAAUCAUGAAUCGGUAUAAUACUACUGUGGUGCGCAGCCCGAUCCUAUAGUAUCCUCACAACACAGGCCCUCGGCCUUACUCAGUCAUAAUCUCACAAGCCACACGGGCAACAGUAAAACAUGAUGCUUAGCCCAAAAUAUCAUUUAAAAUAUCAAAAACGAGUAAAGAUGGCUAAGUUGUGAAAACAAUAGAAUAUAGCAUGAGUGAGUACAAAUACGAAGUCAAAACAGUGAGGAAUAGUAGUAAAAUCCCCUAAGGGUCCAAACAGUUGGCACGAGGCCCAAAUAUGACAUUCAUCCCAAAACAUGACGAUAGCAAAUAGUUUUCAAUCAAAUACGCAGUUAAACAGUCAUACGGGAUAGACUAAGUCACAACUCCCAAUGGUGCACGACCCCACGCUCGUCAUCUAGCAUGUGCGUCACCUCAAAGUAGCAUAACGAUGUGAUAUCUGGGGUUUCUUACCCUCAGGACAGCAUUUACAAUCAUUACUUACCUCUAUCCGGUCCAAACUCUAGCCCGCAAUGCCUUUGCCUCUCGCCUCGGCCUCAACUCGCGUCGAAUCAAUCCAAAAUCAGAAUCAUGACGUCAAAAUAUGCCAAGGGAACGAGGCCUAUGCGAAAAUAAUCAAAUUACAACACAAAUCCUGAAAUUAACAAAACCCGACCCCGGGCCCACGUCUCGGAAUCCGAUACAAAUUACAUCAAUAAACUCUUUAUCCUCCCACAAGUUCAUCCAUAUCAAAAGUAUCAAAAUCCAAUCACAAAUGUCCCCUUAAAUCCUUAAUCAAGGUCUCCAAUUACAAGCCCUAGUUUCUUCAAUAUUUACCCACCAAUUUCCAUAAAUUUCAAGCCGAAUCAAUGAAAUAACACCAUAGGAACGAGUUUUAUGUUCAAAAAUCUUACCUCAAUGAAGUUCCCUCUGAUUCCCUCUUCAAAAUCCCCCAAAAAGCUCCAAAAUCGAUUUAAAAAUGGUGAAGAAAGGCUGAAAAUCGCGAAGGAUGAAAUAUACACUUUUGACCCAGGGAUUCCGCACCUGCUAUCCUUUUCCGCUUCUGCGAUCUAAUUCACUGCACCUGCAAUUUUCACUUAAAGGCCCAAUUCCGCAUCUGCGACAAAACGCCCGCACCUGCGCUAUCGCUGGUGCGCUCCAGUAGCUGCUUCUGUGGUUCCAGCUGACUUCCCUCUUGGCCACAUCUGUGGCUUGCCUUCCGCUUCUGCGGGCAUUGCACCUACGGCCUCCCAACCGCAAGUGCGGUUAUGACAACAACAACAACUUCAGCUGCCAAACUAAACUCCAAAAUCUCCCGUCAACCAUCUGAAAUCACCUCGAGGCCCCCGGGACCUCAACUAAAAGCACAGACAAGUUAUAUACCACUAUCCAAACUUAUACCAAUCUUCAAAACACCUCAACCAACAUCGAAUCAACCAAAUCACAUCGGAUUCAAGCCUAAGGUUCCAAAAAUCUUUCGAAUUCCGCUUUUGAUCAAAAGUCUAUCAAACCAUGUCCGAAUGACCUAAAAUUUUGUACACACAUACCAAAUGACACAACAGACCUAUUGCAACUCCCGGAAUUUCAUUCCGACCCCUAUAUCAAAAUCUCACCUAUCAACCGGAAAACGCCAAAAUUCUAAUUUCGCCAAUUCAAGCCUAAACCUACUACAGACCUCCAAAACACGUUCCGAUCACCCUCCUAAGUCCCAAAUCAUAUCCCGAAGCUAUCCGAACCAUCGAAAUUCACAUCCGAGCCCUUUUUUGCAUAAGUCAAUAUCCGGUUAACUUUUCCAACUUAAGCUUACUCAAAAGAGACUAAGUGUCUCAAAUCUUACCAAAAACUCUCUGAAACUGAGGCAGCCAACCCGGUAACAUAUAAUACAGCUGAACAAGACAAUAAGAAGCAGAAAUGGGGGAAACAGAGAGGUAACACAUGAAACGACUGGCCGGGUCAUUACAUUAUUUCUCCAAGGAACUCAAUAAACCAAAGAUCAAAAGCUCGGAGUGUCUCCUCUGAAGUUCUAUUUGUGAAGCGUGAGGAUGGUGCUCGAGAUGAAGUUUUAAUUUUUUUCUACUCUUUAACUUAUAAAAGGGUGUGGAGUAUUGAAACGGUAUGAGCCUAUGAGGAGUCAUUAAGAAAAAUGAACAAAUGUUUGAUUUUUUUGGAGUAGAUAAUAGAUUUGCUGUGAUGAUUAGAGAAGAAUGGGGAGGAUGAGGAGGCAUAUUGUAGGAUGAGGAAGAAGAUAUAGAAUAUAAACAGAAAAAGAGGAAAAGAAUAGAGAAAAAGGGCAAAAAAAAUCUAAAAGUACCGAAUAAAUAAUAGAACAUAGAGAAGAAGGAAGUGAAAUGUAAAUGUUGUAUACGGUAAAAUCGGAGGGUCUAAUUUUCCAUCGUUAUGACACCUCAAAGGCUCGAAAUUAUGGUCGAGUUUCAUCCCUCGAGGCCAACGAUUAUGGGAAGAAAAUGGGGAGUUCCCAAGGCGUGAAGCUAGAGCUGACAAGAUCUGUCAGGCUAGUCUGAGCCCGUAUCUUGGCAUUAGUCCCAUCUCCAUAUCUUUGUAAUAAAUGCACUUGUACUAUGUUGGGAUUCCCCCUCUUAUAUAAAGGGGAUCCGUAUCAAUUUGUAAAUAUAUAUUGCUCCAUGCUAAAUAUACAAGAACAUUCUAUCUGCUCUAGCAUAUUCUCUUGAUCUUAUUACUUCAUUUAUUGCUCGUAUUUAUUGUGAUUCAAUUCAUUGUUCAUCAUUUAUUGCUUAUUAUUGGCCAUAAAGAGCCACCCUUGAUCUAUUUGUAACUGGUAUUCGCCAUCGACUGCCUUCGAUAGAUCCUAGCGGAGCUACAGACUCAACCCCGAGGCCUUCGAAUAGGCAAGCUCGAAGCACCGAUUGGUAGCGAUUCAGUUUGAUUAACACCUCGUUCUUAAGCUCUUAUUUUGUUUCUAAGCCUUUCACAUAGUAUAUACUACCUAACAACUAGCAUAAAAAUAGAUCACACAUUUUCAAAAUCACUAAAUCAAAUUUAUUUGUUAUUACCAUUUUCACGGUAAACAGUUUGGCGCCCCCGUGGGGCUAAAAAUAAUAGUGAUUAUUUUCUUGCUGGUUUAACUACAUAACACAAGUUAUCUUUCAACCGCUUUGAAGAAUAAGUAGUACACACAGGAAUGAAAUGCACGGACUUGGUAAGCCGAUCCACAAUCAUCUAAUAGGCAUCGAACUUCCUCAAAGUCCGUGGGAGCCCAACUACAAAGUCCAUGGUGAUCCGCUCCCACUUCCAUUCUGGAAUCUCUAUUUGCUGAAGCAACCCCCCCGGUCUCUGGUGCUCAUACUUCACCUGCUGACAAUUGAGGCACCAAGCUACAAACCCAGCUAUGUCUUUCUUCAUCUGCCUCCACCAAUAGUGCUGUCUCAAAUCCUGAUACAUCUUCGCAGCACCCGGAUGAAUGGAAUACUGCGAACUAUGGGCCUCCUCUAGAAUCAACUCCCGAAGCCCAUCAACAUUGGGUACACAAAUCCGACCCUAUAUCCUUAAUACCCCGUCAUCACCAAUAGUCACAUCUCUGGCAUCACCAUGCUAAACCUUGUCCUUAAGGACAAGCAAAUAAGGGUCAUCAUACUAACGCUCCCUGAUACGAUCAAAUAAGGAAGACCGAGAAACCACGCAAGUUAGAACCCGACUAGGCUCCGAAAGAUCCAAUCUCACAAACUGGCUGGAUAAGGCCUAAACAUCCAUCGCCAUAGGCCUCUCCGAUGCUGGUAAAUAAGACAAACUUCCCAAACUCUCUGCCCGGUGACUCAAGGCAUCGGCCACCACAUUGGCCUUGCUCGGGUGAUAAAAAAAUAGUGAUAUCAUAGUCCUUCAGCAACUCUAACCACCUCCUCUGGCAAAAAUUUAGAUCCUUUUGCUUGAAUAAGAUCUGCAAGCUCCGAUGAUCAGUAUAAAUCUCACAAGGCAAACCAUACAAACAAUGACGCCAGAUCUUCAAGGCGUGAACAAUGGCAGCUAACUCAAGGUCAUGGACAGGGUAAUUCUUCUCGUGUACCUUCAACUGUCUAGACGCGUAGGCAAUCACCCUACCGCCCUGCAUCAAUACUGCUCCAAGGCCAAUCCUCGAGGCAUCACAAUAGAUAGUAUAAGACCCCAAACUUGUAGGCAAUAUCAAAACUAAGGCUGUAGUCAAAGCUGUCUUGAGCUUCUGAAAGCUCACCUCACACUCUUUCGUCCACUGGAACAGAGCACCCUUCUGGGUCAACCUGGUCAUAGGGGCUGCAAUCGAUGAAAACCCCUCAACAAAACGACGGUAAUAACCCACCAAGCCAAGAAAACUGCGGAUCUCUGUAGCUGAGGAUGGUCUGGGCCAACUCUGUACUGCCUCUACUUUCUUCGAAUCCACCUGAAUACCCUCACUCGACACCACGUGGCCUAAGAAUGCCACGGAAUCCAACCGAAACUCACAUUUCGAGAACUUAGCAUAUAACUUCUUUUCUCUCAAAGUCUCAAGCACUGUCCUCAGGUGCUGCUCAUGAUCUUCCCGACUUCGGGAAUACACCAGAAUAUUAUCAAUAAAGACAAUGACGAACGAGUCAAGAUACGACCGGAAUACACUAUGCGUCAAAUGCAUAAAGGCUGCUGGGGCAUUGGUCAGCCCAAACAAUAUAACAAGGAACUUAUAAUGACCAUACCGAGUCCAGAAAGCAGUUUUUGGGAUAUCUGGCUCCCGAAUCUUCAACUGAUGGUAACCUAAGCGCAAGUAAAUCUNNNNNNNNNNNNNNNNNNNNNNNNNNNNNNNNNNNNNNNNNNNNNNNNNNNNNNNNNNNNNNNNNNNNNNNNNNNNNNNNNNNNNNNNNNNNNNNNNNNNNNNNNNNNNNNNNNNNNNNNNNNNNNNNNNNNNNNNNNNNNNNNNNNNNNNNNNNNNNNNNNNNNNNNNNNNNNNNNNNNNNNNNNNNNNNNNNNNNNNNNNNNNNNNNNNNNNNNNNNNNNNNNNNNNNNNNNNNNNNNNNNNNNNNNNNNNNNNNNNNNNNNNNNNNNNNNNNNNNNNNNNNNNNNNNNNNNNNNNNNNNACAUAAGCUAGAUACGCAUCACACCCCUUUUAACCAUACGCUAAGCCUUAAGGAAAGAAAUAACUCUACUAGGAGUGUCAUUUAAAGUACCCUUCCAAUCAACAAGCAGUACACCUGGCAUAGCCAGCAUCACGAUUUUGGCGUGACAAUCAAGAAUAGCAUAAUGGGGCGACAAGCAGUCCAUGCCCAAGAUAAUAUCAAAAUCUACCAUGCUGAGCAACAAUAAAUCGGUUCUGGUCUCAAAACCACUAAGAGCAACCAAACACGACCGAUAAAUGUGGUCCACAACAAGAGAAUCUCCCAUAGGAGUAGAAACAUAAAUAAGGGAACUCAAAGAAUCCCAAGGUACACCCAAAUGCGAAGCAAAAUAAGAAGACACGUAAGAGUAAGUGGAGCCUGGAUCGAAUAGAACUGAUGCAUCUCUGUGACAAACCAGUAUAAUACUUGUGAUGAUAGAAUCAGAGGCAACAACCUCGGUACGGGUAGGAAGGGCAUAGUAUCUGACCUGGCCUCCCCCUCUAGGGCAACCUCUACCUCCCCGACCUCCACCUCUAGUUGGCUAAGCAGGUGGGGUAGCAACUGGAGCGGUAACCAUAGCCUGAGAACUCUGCUGGGCACGUUGUAGCUGAGAAUUCUGUGGAGGUGCACCCCUCCUAAGUCUGGGGAAAUCCCUCACCUUAUGGCAUGUAUCACCACACUCAAAACAAGCUCUGGGAGGAUGUGGCGGCUGUGACUGGCUCUGGCCAGGUAUGCUGGACUGACCACUGAAAGCACCCCGCGCAGGAGGCGCACUAGAUACUAGAGGUGCAUAAUAAGGCUCCUUGCGCCUAGGAGGAGCUGGAAUACCACUGGCUGCUGGAAGAGAUGAAUGAACAGGGUGACUCAUAUAACCCUUACCAUGACGACCUGCAGCUGGGGCACGAGCACUAGAUUAAUGGCCUGACUCUCGAGACCUCUUGGCCUCCCUCUCCUCUCUCUCCCUAGCAUGCAUACCCUCAAUCCUCCUAGCAAUGCUCACCACCUGCUGAUAAGAGAUAUCCAUCUCAAACUCAAGAGCUAUGCUAGAUCUGAUGCUGGGAAUAAGCCCCUCAAUAAACCGGUGAAAUAUCUCACGAACAAUAGAAACCAAGGCUGGGGAAUGUCUAGCCAAGCUAGUGUAAUAGAUAGCAUACUUCGAGACAAUCAUAGUACCCUGGCGCAAAUGCUCAAACUCUGCGCGCCAUGAGUCCCUGAGGCUCUGAGGAACAAACUCCUUCAGGAACAUAUCUGGAAACCGAGUCCAAGUCAGUGAAGCUGCCUCAUCCGGACUGUCUAACUCAUAGGUACGCUACAACUCAUAGGCGGCUCCUCGAAGCUGGAAGGCAAUGAAAGAAACCCCACUCGAUCCUGAUAUACCCAUAGUGCGGAGGAUACAGUGACACUCCUCCAGAAAUCUCAAGGCAUCAUCUGAGGCUAACCUAAUGAAUACAGGAGGAUCAUACUUCUUGGACCUCUCAAGCCUCCGAUGCUCAUCCUCGGAAGCUGCUGCCUUGUCCUCGAGCUGACCUGGGACUACAGGCUGUACAGGAAUAAUCUAUAGGACCUGAUCAACAUGCACUCGCUACUCAAGAAUGCGGGAGGCGGGAGUCUUUGCUCCUCCCCAGACCUGAGAUGCGGCUGCAGCAAGGGGAAGCAACCCUGCCUGAGCCAAAGUGGUGUACAUGCUCAUGAACUACGCAAGAGUCUCCUGGAGAGCUGGAGUAGCAGUAGUAGUAGGCGUAUCAGGUGCCUGGACUCCAGCUAGAAUUGCUGGUGGUACCUCGGUGGUAGCUCGCGCGGGUGCUCUGGCUGCACCACGUGCGCGUCCUCGGCCUCUGACGACUGUAGUAGGGGGCGCGGGUGCCUGAUCCUCUCGGGUAGCACGCGUCCUUACCAUCUGUGAGAGAAUAGAAAACAGAAGUUAGAAUUGUGAUAUCAAAAUCUCCACUGACAAUGAAAUCAAAUGAAGUGGAAUUUUCCUAACAGUUACAUAGCCUCUCGUAGAUAAGUACUGACGUCUCCGUACUGAUCGGCGAGACUCUAAUAAACCGUCUUGUGAUUCAUGACUCCUAUGAACCUAGAGCUUUGAUACCAACUUGUCACGAUCCUGGUUCGCCCUCCGUGAACCAUCGUGACUGCAACUAGUCUCUACAAUUAGGUAAGCCUAACAAUGCAGAAUAUAAACAACAAUUGCGGAAGAAAUAACUAAAAAACCGAAAUAGUGAAAUAAAAUAGAGUUUAAAGUGCCGCUCAGCAUACACAAUAACAACUCUCGAGACUAAUAACAUUUCCCAAAACCUGAAAUCUCAUGACCACAAGCCUUUGAAUGUCUACAAACAUCUAACUCCAGAAUAUCUAACAAUGAAACGAAAGUACAUAAGGGCUAAUACAAAAAGGGAGAGUAGAAAGGGACUCUUCGAUCUGCGGAUGCGGCAGAUAUACCUUAAAGUCUCUACAAGCGCCUCGUCUCAAGCAUGAUAAGUCUGAGUGAAAGUACUUGCAUCUACACAUGAAAAACAUGCGCAGAAAGGGCAUGAGUACACCACAUCGGUACUCAGUAAGUGCCAAGCCUAACCUCGGUCGGGUAGUGACGAGGAAGGUCCGGGCCCUACUGAGGUUAAAUAAAAUAUAAGGUUUAACAGUAUAGAACAAAAGCAAUAUAAAUAAGUACAACAGUAAAAGUAAUACAGGAUAUAAAGGACAACAACAACUACCACAGAGGCCAAGUAAACACAGAAAGAAAUACAGCUCAGCACAAAGAUAACAACCGAGGAUCUCCCAGGAUACCGUUCUGUAGUCCCAAUAUAAAUAUCUAGUGGAUCUCCCAAGAUACCGUCCCGUAGUCCAACUCAUAAUGCGAGGGGAUCUCCCGGAACACCAAUCCGUAGUCCCAAAUGUAAAUACUCAGUACAGGGGGAAUCUACCAGGUGCAGUCCCGUAGUUCCAAUGUAAAUGUGCAGGGGGAUCUCCCGGAAUACCAUUCCGUUGUCCCAAAGUAAACAUAGAGGGGGAUCUCCCGGGAUACCAUCACGUAGUCCCAAUGUAAAUACACAAUAACAACAAAAAGAGUACACAGUUCAAUUCAAGUUCCAUACCAAGGUAAAACAGGUAUUUCUAACCUAGCAUGCUGCACAUAAUCCAAAUAAGGCAGUUUGAGCAAGUAAGGCAAUUAAGUCAAUUAGACAUGCUUUCCUAAGCUAACAACAAGCUUAAAUCGGAUUUUCAACAAUUAGCACAAGUACGCACUUGUCACCUCACGUACAAGGCAUUUCAAUUAUCAAUAAUACCAAAUCCUAAGGGAAAGGUCCCCCAUACAAGGUUAGACAUGCCACUUACCUAGAACAGGCUCAAAGUCAACCCGAAACCACAUUCUUGCCACGAGUACUCGACUCCAAAUGGCCCAAAUCUAUUCAAUUCAGUUGCAUAAUGUAAAUAACACUUCAAGUAACUGAUUCUACAAAGAAAUUCUAAGCUAAUACGCAAAUUAGGUAAAAUGACCAAAACGCCCCUCGGGCCCAUGUCUCGGAAUAGGGUAACAUUUAUCUUUUCAGAAUCCUCAUACUAUCACGAGUUCAGUCAUACCAAAAGUACCAAAAUCGGACCUCAAAUGGUCCCUCAAAUCAUCACUCAAAAGUCUCUAAUUAAUCAAGCCCUAACCCCCAAUUUACCUCUGAUUUUCCUUAAAUUUUCAUGCUUACGAUGAUAAAAAUAACCUCAAUAACGAGUUUAAGGACCAAAGACCUUACCCCAAUGAAUUCCUCUGAAAAUCUCCCUUGAAAAUGCUCCCCAAGGCAGAAUUCUCGUUUGAAAAGAGGUGAAAAUAACUCAAAUUCACGAAGGCAACUAUUUAUAUAUUCUGCCCAGCUAAUCCUCUUGCGGUCCCGGCUUUUGUGGAAAAAAAGUCGCAUCAGCGGCAAUUCACUGAUGUCCAGCUACCGCACCUGCGGUUUCCCAUAUGCAGAUGCGGUAUCGCUUCUGCGGUGAAGCUCCUACUUCUGCGGCUCCUGCUGGCUCUCCCCUUUUCGCUUCUGCGAUGAUACCACCACUUCUGCGGCUAUGCACCUACAGGACCCAACCGCAGGUGCGAUUAUGACAUAAGAUCAGCAGCUGAAGCUGCUCAAACAAACUCCCAAUUCUUCCGACAACCUUCCGAAACCAUCCCGAGGCUCCCGGGACCUCAACCAAAAGCACAAACAAGUCUAGUACCACUGUCCAAACUAAUACCAAUCCUUAAAACACCUAAAACAACAUCAAAAUAACGAAUCAACCACGGAUUCAUGCCUAAGAACUCCAAAACUCUCAAUUUACUCUUUCGAUCAAAAAGUCUAUCAAACCUCGUUCGAAUGACCUAAAAUUUUGCACACACGUCACAUUAAACACUACGGAGCUACUCCAACUUCGGGAAUUCCAUUCCGACCCUCGGAUCAAAAUCUCACUAUCGAACCGGAAACUUCCAAAAACUCAACUUUCGGCAUUUCAAGCCUAAAUUAGUUAUGGACCUCCAAAACACAAUUUGAACACGCUCCUAAACCCGAAAUCACCCAAAAGAGCUAACAGAACCAUCAGAAUUCCAAUACGAGGCCGUCUUCAUACUGUUCUGACUACGGUCAAAUUUCCAAAACUUAAACUCUCAUUUAGGGACUAAGUGUCCCAAAACUCUCUGAAACUUAAAGCCAAGCAUCCCGACAAUUCAAAAUAGCAGAACAAACACGGGGAAUACAGUUAAUAGGGAAACGGGGCAUUAAUUCUUAAAACGACUGGCCGGGUUGUUACAGAUGGAGCGUAGAAGCGGUCCCGCAAGUGCGGUAUCGCAAGGUAGAACAUAUAAAUAGAUGUCUUCGCGAAUUUUUGCUAAGUUUCUCCAUUUUUGAAGACGGGAAGAGAUCUAGGGAAAUGAUUUUUCAAGGGAAUCGAAGGUUUUCAGUUGGGUAAACUUCUUAAGCUUUAUUACUUGUGUUUAUGGCCAUUUUUCCAUUGUUUAAUCAUGGUAUUAGUGGAAAAUUAGGGAAGCAAGUUGCGAGAUUAGAGCUAGAAAUUGGAGACUUUGAUUUAGGGAUUUGAGGGGUCGUUUGUGGUCAGAUUUUGUUGUAUUUAGUAUGUAUGAACUCGUGAGAGUGUAAGGAUUCUAGUUUUGUGAAUUUUAUCGCAAUUCGAGACGUGGGCCCGGGGGUCGGGUUUGGCCAAUUUCGGGGUUUUUGAGUUAAAUUGAUAAUUUUCAUAUGGUUUCACUCCUUUAGCGUAUAUUGAUGGUUAUAUACUAAUUUUGGUUAGAUUCAGGGUAUUUGGAGCCAAAUCGAGAGGCAAGGACGUCACGGACUAGAGUUUGGCAUGGCUUGAGGUAAGUAACGCUUCCAAACUUGGUUCUGAGGGUUCGAAACCCCGAACUAUGUGUUCUAUGAUUACUAUUAAGGUGACGCAAAUGCCAAGUGACAGUCGUGUGGGCGUGCACCGUGAGAAUCGAGGCCUGGGUCAUUCCAUGGUACCGCUUAGUGACUCUUUCAUGUUGAUAUCUAUGUUGAAACUAUGUGAUUAAGUUAAUGAGCUGCAAAUCAUGCUAAUUAUCAUGUUAAGGCUUCACGCCAACACUGUUGAGACCCGAGAGGUCAUUUCUUGCUAUCAUGUCAUUAGCUUCAUUUAUAUUAUGUACUUAGUCCUGUUCAUACUGUAAUGACCCGACCCAUCAUUUUGAGCUUUUGCACUUUGCUCGCCAGUUCUCGGGCAUGACUAGCCCCGUGUGAUGUAUUAUGACUUAUGUAAAUCAUCGGUUUUGGUUUUUAGGGUAAUCAGAAUGAAUUUGGAAGAACAGUUCUCAGUUUGAACCUUAAAAUUUGAAAGGUUUGACCAAGUUUUGACUUUUUAGUAUUCGAUCUCGGAUUUGGAUUUUUAUGAUUUGAUUAGUUUCAUUAGGUGAUUUUGGACCUGGGAGCACGUUUGGAAUGUAUUUUGGAGGUCCAUGGUAGAUUUAGGCUUGAAUUGGCAAAAUUUGAAAAUUUGGCAUUUUCCGGUCGACAGUGAAAAUUUUGAUAUCGGGGUUGGAAUGGAAUUUCGGAAGUUGAAGUAGGUCCAUUGUAUCAUUUGUGAUGUGUGUGCAAAAUUUCAGGUCAUUCGGACGAGGUUUGAUAGACUUUUUGAUCGAAUUCGAAAUUCGGAAAUUUUUGGGAUUCUUAGGCUUGAAUCCGAUGAUGAUUUGAUGUUUUGAUGUUGUUCUGAGCGUUACGAUAGUUGGAACAAGUUUGAAUGAUGUUAUGGGAUAUGUUGGCAUGUUUGGUUGACGUCCCGAGGGCCUCGGGUGAGUUUCAGAUGCUCAACGAGUCAUUUUUUGGACUUAAGAAGUUGCUGGUGUUCUACAACUGGUAUAUUCUUCAUCGCGAUCGUGGGAGGAGGAUCGCAUAAGGCAAAUGGGAGGCCAGCUGGGUUAACUCUUCGCGCUCUCAGAGAAAGGGGGGCGAUCGCAUAGGUCAGUCAAGUUGUGCAACGCGAACGCGUGGGCCAGGCCGCGUUCGCGUAGAAGAAAUAAGGCGGCAGAGGAAUCUGGUAUUACCCUUCGCGUUCGCGUGGGGUCAAUUGCGAUCGCGUAGCUUAGGGGAACCACUGCAUCGCGUUCGCGUGUGGGGUAACGCGGUCGCAUAGAGUAAAAUAUUAAGGCAGCAAAAAUUGUUCUUUGCGAUCGCGAGGAUAUUUCCGCGAUCACGAUUAAGGAAAAUAAUCCCUGGCAGAAUGUUUUAAAAGUGGUUUUGACGACUUUUGGUCUAUUUCCUCCAUUGUUGAGCGAUUUUGGAGCUUUUUGAGGAGGAUUGAAGAGGAAAUCGAAGGGAAACACUUGGAGGUAAGAUUUUUGAACUCAAUACUCGAUCCUAUAUUGAUUCUUACUUGUUUAAACAUGAAAUUAGUGGGAUUUAAAGCCUAAAAUUGGGAAAUUAGGGCUUGAAAUUGGAGAGUGUAAAUUGGGGAUUUGAGGUCCGAUUUUGAUGUUUUUGGUAUGUAUGGACUCGUGGGAGGAUAAGAAUUCUAUUGAUGUAAUUUUUAUCGGAUUCCGAGACGUGGGCCUGGGGGUCGAGUUUGGCAAAUUUCGGGAUUCUUGGUGUAAAUUGGUUAUUUUCGAGUGGGCUUUGUUCCCUUAGUAUAUUUUGAUGGUAUGAAUCUAUUUUUGGUUAGAUUUGGAGCAUUCGGAGGCCGAGUCGAGAGGCAAAGGCAUCGCGGGCUAGAGUUUGGACCGGAUUGAGGUAAGUAAUGAUUGUAAAUAUUGUCCUAAGGGUAUGAAACCCCGAAUUUUACAUCGUUGUGCUACUUUGAGGUGACGCACAUGCUAGAUGACGAGCGUGGGGUCAUGCACCGUUGGGAAUUGUGAUUUGGUUCGUCCCGUACGACUGUUAGGUCGCGUAUUUGAUAUUAUUGUGUUUUGGAAAUGUAUUGCUAUGUUUUGGGUGAAAUGUCAUAUUUGGGCCUCGUGCCAACUAUUUUGGACCCUUAUGGGGCUUUUUUUAACUACUAUUUCUCACUGUUUUGAUUUAAUAAUUGUGCUCAGUCAUGCUGUGUUUUGCUGAUUCCCUAACUCAGCCUUAUUUACUCAAUUCUGAUACUAUAAAUGAUAUUGUGAGCUAAACGCCCUAUUUUACUGAUAGUCCGAGUGGCUUGUGAGGUUGAUGGCUGAGAGAGGCUGAAUGCCUGAUUGUGAGGUUAAUGACUGAGAUAAACCAAGGGUCUGAUUGUGAGGUUAAUGACUGAGAGAGACCGAGGGCCUGGUUGUGAGGAUUAUAUACUUAUGGAUCGGGCUGCACGCCGCAACAAUAUAUAUAUGGUGAGUUCGAGUCUCCCCAAGAGCAAGGUGGGAANNNNNNNNNNNNNNNNNNNNNNNNNNNNNNNNNNNNNNNNNNNNNNNNNNNNNNACCCUAAUAAGUGUGAUUAUACUGGGUUGUUGUUGUUGUUUGUUGGAUCGGGCUGCACGCCUUAUCAAUAUGUUGGAUCGGGCUGCACGCCGCAACGAUAUAGCUUGGGUUGUAGGAGCCCCUCCGGAGUUUGCACACCCCCAGUGAGCGCAGUCGACUAUAUAUAUGGAUCAGACAGCACGUCGCAACGAUAUAUGGAUCGGGAUGCACACCACAUCGAUUAUUAUAUGGUACCUAUUGAGCGUGAGUGCUGAGUGUGAGCGCUGAUUGAUAAGAGUUGAGUCAUGAGUGAAUGAGAGGCUUGCCUGAGGGGCUAUAUAUACUUGUAUACAAGUGAUGCUUUGCUUGAGGGGCCUGUUUUAUGAAAUUACUAUUUUUACUCAUCUUUAUACUGAGCCUCUAUCGAAAAUGUUAAACAAAUAUUUUGAACAACUUUCAUUAAAACUGGAAGUUUUACGAGAUGUUUGGAAAUUAAAUUACUGAUUUGGUUUUGUUAUUUCCAUUGAGAUUUUCAUGUUAUGUGAUGUAUAUGAAUGAUCGAAAAGGUUGCUAGAAGGGCUGUUUAUGAAUUAUUUUGCCGGAGGGGCCGAUUACGACUUGUCAUCACUUUUACUAUAAACUACAUUGAACCUUUAUUGAAACUGUUAGAAAGUUAUCUUUCAAAGGAUUUUAUUGAAACUGGGGUUUAACGAGAUGAUUUGAUCUGUAUACUGUUUUGGAAAAAUUACUGUACCCACAGUGGUGCUAUGACGUGGAUUACGUGAUUUCUUGAUGCUCAGAUUUUAUUUACUUUUAUUACUUACUGAGUUGGCGUACUCACAUUACUCCCUGCACCUUGUGUGCAGAUUCAAGUAUUUCUGAGCUCGGUGGCAGGUUCAUCGGAGUUAGCAAGGUAGCUGCCUGGCGAUCGCAGCCCUGCUUUUCUCCCUCCUUAUUCUUCCUUAAUGUAUUCUUGUGAUUUCCCGGCCAUAUUGGCCUUGAUGUUGUUAGACAAUUGUAGUAAAUGCUCAUGACUAGUGACACGCCGAUGUCAGGCUUGGGUAUUUAUUCCGCACUGUUAAUUUAGACUUACAUCAUGAGAUUAUUAAUUAAUAAAUGGUAUAAAAAUGACUUUUAUUGAAUAAUGGUUGAUUCGGGAAUUGUGUCGGCUGGCCUAGUUUCGCGAUAAGCGUCAUCACGACCGAAUCGGGUUUUUUUGGGUUGUGACACAUGCAUAUUCUAUCAUGUCUUAGUCUCGAUUAUUACUAUUUGACAUAUCAUAUCAUUGUUCGGGCUAGUAUCAUGACAUCUUUGAGCCCGUGUGUGUGAGACUGGAGAGUAGUGACUGAGUGAGGCCGAGAGCCUGAUAUUGAGUGACAGUAUGGGAUCGGGCUGCACUCUGUAGCGAGAUUUUGAUCAUGCCUUCGUUGACUUGAUAUAACUCUUGGGCUAAGAGAAGCCCCUCCGGAGUCUUUACACCCCCAGUGAGUGCAGUUGAUGAUAUUGAGGGAUGGAUCUUCCCUGGACAUGGAUCUUGUCCGAAGCAUUGAUACCUGGAGAUGGAUCUUCUCCAUACGGUUGGAAUGGCCUUCCUCGGUACUGGAUGACUACGGUCAAUGAUGUGUAUAUAUUCCGGGAUUGAUCUUCCCUGGGCCGGGUGGCCAUAUACAGUAUCGAGUGGUUGAGCAAUUAUGAGUGGAGGUACACGGAACAUUGAUCAUGCUAUUUGUGCAUUGGUACUUAGAGAUUUUCGGAGCUUUAUACUCUGUACUGGUCAUGUUAUAUUUACUUACUACUGAGCUUUUACUUGAACUGCAAGCAUGCCUACUUUUUCUAUACAGUUUAUUUGUAUACCAUUGAGGUUUGGUUCGUCACUACCAUCAGUCCAUAGUUUUGACUUGUUACUUACUGAGUUGGUGUACUCACGUUACCCCCUGCACCCCUGUGUGUAGAUCUAGGUAUCUCGGGGCACAGUAGUGGUUGCUGAUCAUACCAGUUGGAGACUUUCCGUGGAGAUUGCGAGGUAGCUGCCUGACGAUCGCAGUUCUACCUUCUCCUUCCUUAUCUUCCUUAUAGUACUUUUGUUGGAUAUUCUCAGACUAUGUAGUCGUGUUUGUCUCAAACAGUUGUAGUAAUUUGCUCAUGACUUAGUGACACCCGAGGUCGGGCUUGUACUUUCUUUCCGCUUGUUUUGAUUUUAUACUAUUACCUUUUAUCGGAUUUCUAUUAAAAUAUUAUUUUUCUUAUGUUUUUAAAUGAAAUAUGGAGUAUUUGGAAAUAAGUUGGCUAGCCUAGUUUCACGAUAGGCGCAAUCACGACCGGGCCGAUUUUUGGGUCGUGACAUAUUAGUAUUAGAAACAGGUUACAUAGGUCUCACGGGUCAUGAGCGGGUUUAGUAGUGUCUUGUGGAUUGGUACGGAGAGGUCUGUACUUAUCCUCGGGAGGUUGCAAAACCUUUAGGAAAAACUUCAUAUUCUUGAAUUCUUGUCGUGCGAAUCUAUUGAUUUUGGUACUAGACUUCUGUUAUUCUAUUCUCUCACAGAUGGUGAGGACACGGGCUACCGGUCAGGACUGACGAUCACUAGUACCACUAGUUGGGGCCACUAGAGGCCGAGGACGCGGUCGAUGCCGUGGUAAGUGCAAGGGUGUAGCCCGUACAACAGCUAGGGCAACACCUGUAGAUCCACCCACCUCCCCUGUUCAUGAUCAGGCUCCAGUGGGGGAUGCUCCAGCAGCACCAGCUUAGGCACCGACUGUGCCUAUUGUUAUUCCGGGUCUUCAGGAGACCUUGGAUCAAAUUCUGACCGUGUGCACCAGCCUUGCUCAGGCAGUCGCAGUUUCUACUACAACAGCUACUUCUCAGGCUGGGGAAGGCACUCAGACUCCCACCACCCGUACACCCGAGCAGGUUGUUCAGGGACUCCAGACACCAGAGGCACCACUAGCCCAGCCGGUUGCACCUGCUCAGGAUUUUAUGGUUCCAGUUAUGCCUAAUGACGAGCAACGACAAUUGGAGAGGUUUAGUAAACUUUAGCCUCCGACUUUCAGUGGCGUAGAGGGCGAGGAUGCCCAGGGUUUCUUGGAUAAGUGUUAGAGAAUGUUACGUACAAUAGGUAUUCUGGAGACUAGUGGGGUGUCAUUUACUACUUUUCAGUUUUCUAGAGCUGCCUUCACUUGGUGGGAGGCUUAUUAGAGGCGUAUGCCUGUUGGUGCACCGCCCCUUGCCUGACAUCAGUUCUCCAUUCUAUUCCUAGAGAAGUAUGUACUGCAUUCCCGUAGAGAGGAGCUGCGCAGGCAAUUCGGGCAGUUGCAUCAAGGGGAUAUGACUGGUCGCAGUAUGAGAUACGAUUCUCCGAGUUGGCCCAUCAUGCUAUAUGGCUAGUUCCCACGGAUAGGGAGAGUAUCAGGAGGUUUGUUAAUGGCCUCAACUAUCAGCUACGGAUUUUGUCUGACCAGAGAGAGUAUUUAGCGCCCCUUUUGAGGAGGUGGUUGACAUUGCUAGAGAGAUAGAGUCAGUUCACCGCCAGGAGCGGGAUGAGAGGGAGGCCAAGAGGUUUUGAGGAUAUAGUAGCUUUAGUAGUGUUCCUUCGGGAGGUCAGCCUCAGCACGACAGAGGCCGUCCAUUCAGACAUGCUCAGCCAGCCCGUUCAGGUCACCGUGGUGGGUCAUCUGGCUAUGGUUCUUACAGUUCACAUCAGGGUCACUCGUCUCUCAGUGCCCUUCCAGCUCAGAGUUCGACUUAGGCACCAUCAGUUCAGGGCUCAUCUAUGCCUGGUUCUUCUAGUGGGUAUCCCGGUGUGUGGGGCUCCCUUUAGUCCCCACCGCCAUUUGCCGGGAGAGGUUUAUUCGAGUGUGGAGAUUUGGAUCAUAUUAAGAGGUUUUGUCCCUGUCUUAUGGGAGGUUCAUCCCAGCAGAGGAGUCAGCCUUCGGCUUCAGCACUAGUUACUUCCCCACUCGCUCAGCCAGCUCGGGGUGGAGGUCAAUCAGCGAGGGGUUGCCCUAAAGGGGGAGGUCGAUCAGGUGGUGGUCAGGCCCGUUUCUAUGCCCUCCUAGCCAGACUAGAUGCUAUUGCUUCAGAUGCUGUGAUUACAAGUAUUAUCUCAGUCUACCACAGAGAUGCCUCUGUAUUAUUUGAUCCAAGUUCCACUUUUUUCAUAUAUGUCAUCAUAUUUUGCCUAUUAUUUGGAUACGUCCCCCAAGUCUCUUGCUUUAUCUAUCCAUUUAUCUACUUUGUUGGGUAUUACUAUUGUUGUAGACCGUGUAUAUCAGUUAUGUGUAGUGACUAUUGGGGGUUUGGAUACCCGAGUGGAUCUCUUGUUGCUUAGUAUGGUUGACUUUGAUGUGAUACUAGACAUGGAUUGGUUAUCUCCGUGUCAUGCUAUUUUGGACUGUCAUGCUAAGACAGUGACAUUGGCUAUGCCGAGGUUGCCACAGAUUGAGUGGCGAGGUUCGAUGGAUUAUGUACUUAGUAGAGUGAUUUCAUUUUUGAAGGCCCAAAGGAUGGUUGGGAAGGGUUUUCUUUCUUAUCUGGCCUUCGUGAGGGAUGUUAGUGCAAAGACUCCUACCAUUGAUUCAGUUCCGAUCGAGAGGGACUUUCCGGAUGUGUAUCCUGUAGACCUGUCGGGCAUGCCACCGGACAUGGAUAUUGAUUUUGGUAUUGAUUUGAUGCUAGGCACUCAGCCCAUUUCCAUUCCACCGUAUCGUAUGGCACCGGCGGAGUUGAAGGAGCAGCUUCAAGAACUCCUUGAUAAGGGGUUUAUUCGGCCUAGUGUGUCGCCGUAGGGUGCGCCUGUUCUAUUUGUGAAGAAGAAGGGUGGCACUAUGAGGAUGUGCAUUGAUUACAGGCAGUUGAACAAGGUUACAAUCAAGAACAAUUAUCCUUUGCCUCGUAUUGAUGAUUUAUUGACCAGCUUCAGGGAGCGAGGGUGUUCUCCAAGAUUGAUCUCCAUUCAGGGUAUCACCAGUUGAAGAUCAGGGACUCAGACAUUCUUAAGACAGCUUUCAGGACCCGAUAUGGUCAUUAUGAGUUCCUUGUAAUGUCUUUUGGGCUGACCAAUGCCCCAACAUCGUUCAUGCAUUUGAUGAAUAGCGUGUUUUGGCCUUAUCUCGACUCGUUUGUCAUUGUGUUCAUUGAUGAUAUUCUGGUGUACACGCAUAGUCAGGAGGAGCACGCGAAGCAUUUGAGAGUUGUGUUGCUGAGAUUGAGGGAGGAGAAGCUUUAUGCAAAGUUCUCCAAGUGUGAGUUUUGGCUCAGUUCAGUUGCUUUCUUGGAGCACGUGGUGUCCAGUGAGGGUAUUUAGGUUGAUUUGAAGAAGAUAGAGGUGGUUUGGAGUUGGCCCAGAUCAUCCUUAGCCACAGAGAUUCGCAGUUUUCUUGGUUUGACGGGUUAUUACCGCCGGUUCGUUUAGGGAUUUUCAUCUAUAGCAUCACUUUUGACCAAAUUGACUCAUAAGGGUGCUCCAUUCAUGUGGUCGGAUGAGUGUGAGGCGAGCUUUCAAAAGAUCAAGACUGCCUUGACCACAACUCCAGUAUUAGUGUUGCCAUCAGCUUCAGGUUCUUAUUCAUUGUAUUAUAAUGCUUCGAGAGUUGGUAUUGGGUGUGUUUUGAUGUAGGAGGGUAGGGUGAUCGCGUAUGCUUCCCGUCAGUUGAAGCCCCAUGAGAAGAACUACCCCGUUCAUGAUUUGGAGUUGGCUGCCAUUGUUCAUGCGUUGAAGAUUUGGAGACAUUAUCUGCAUGGUAUGUCUUGUGAGGUGUUUACUGAUCAUUAUAGCCUCCAACACUUGUUCAAGCAGAAGGAUCUCAAUUUGAGGCAACGGAGAUGGUUGGAGCUACUAAAGGAUUAUGAUGUCAAUAUCUUGUACCAUUCGGGAAAGGCCAAUGUGGUGGACGAUGCCUUGAGUAUGAAGGCGGUGAGUAUAGGGAGUUUGGCGUAUAUUUCUGUUGGGGAGAGACCUAUUGUAGUUGAUGUUCAGGCCUUGGACAAUCGGUUCGUAAGGCUGGAUAUUUCGGAGCCUAGUCGGGUAUUAGCUUGUGUGAUUUCUCGGUCUUCCUUAUUUGAUCACAUCAGAGAGCGCCCGCAUGAUGAUCCUCAUUUGCUUGUCCUUAAGGACAAAGUUCAGCACGACGAUGCCAGGGAUGUGACUAUUGGUGAUGAUGGGGUUUUGAGGAUGCAUGGCCAGAUAUGUGUGCUCAAUAUGGAUGGGCUUCGGGAGUUGAUUCUAGAGGAGGCCCAUAGCUCGUAGUAUUCCAUCCAUCCAGGUGCCGCAAAGAUGUACCAGGAUUUGAGACAGCAUUUCUAGUGGAGGAGAAUGAAGAAGGAUAUUGUGGGAUUUGUAGCUCGGUGUCUCAAUGGCCAGCAGGUGAAAUAUGAGCAUCAGAGACCGUGUAACCUGCUUCAGUAGAUGGAUAUUCCAGAGUGGAAGUGGGAGCGGAUCACCAUGGACUUUGUAGUUGGACUCCCACAGACUUUGAAGAAGUUCGAUGCUAUUUGGGUGAUUGUGGAUCGGCUGACCAAGUCCGUGCACUUCACUCCAGUAUGUACUACCUAUUCUUUAGAGCGGUUGGUAGAGAUCUAUAUCCGAGAGAUUUUUUGCUUGCACAGUGUCCCAAUUUCCAUCAUUUCAGAUAGAGGUACUCAGUUUACUUUGCAGUUUUGGAGGGCCGUGAAAUGGGAGUUGGGUACUCAGGUUGAGUUGAGUACAAUUUUUCACCCUUAGACGGACGGGCAAUAUGAGCGCACUAUUCUGAUAUUGGAGGGCAUGUUGCGCGCUUGUGUCAUUGAUUUUGGAGGGCCAUGAGAUCCGUCUCUACCGCUCGCAGAGUUUGCUUAUAACAACAGUUAUCAGUCGAGUAUUCAAAUGGCUCCAUAUGAGGCUUUAUAUGAGAGACGGUGUAGAUCUCCAGUUGGUUGGUUUGAGCCGGGUGAGUCUAGGCUUUUGGGUACAGACUUAGUGCAGGAUGAUUUGGACAAGGUGAAGGUGAUUUAGGAAUAGUUUCGUACAUCGCAGUCCAGACAAAAGAGUCAUGCUGACAGGAAGGUCCGUGAUGUGUCUUACAUGGUUGGAGAGAAGNNNNNNNNNNNNNNNNNNNNNNNNNUCGAGUGUGCAUCCGAUAUUUCAUGUUUCUAUACUCUGGAAGUACAUCGGCGAUCCGUCUCAUGUUUUGGAUUUCAGCACGGUUCAGUUGGACAGUGAUUUGACUUAUGAUGUGGAGAUAGUAGCUAUUUUGGAGCGUCAGAUUCGAAAGUUGAGAUCAAAGGAUAUAGCUUCAGUGAAAGUGCAGUUGAGAGGUCGGCCCGUGGAUGAGGCUACCUGGGAGACUGAGCGGGAGCUGCGGAGUAGAUAUCCUCACCUAUUUGAGACUUCAGGUAUAUUUAAUCAUGGUAUUAGUGGAAAAUUAGGGAAGAAAGUUGGGAGAUUAGGGCUUGAAAUUGGAGACUUUGAUUUAGGGAUUUUAGGGGCCGUUUGUGGUCGAAUUUUGGUGUAUUUGGUAUGUAUGAACUAGUGAGAGUGUAAGGAUUCUAGUUUUGUAAAUUUUAUCGAAAUUUGAGACGUGGGCUCGAGGGUCAGGCUUGGCCAAUUUUGGGAUUUUUGAGUUAAACUGAUAAUUUUCAUAUGAGUUUCACUCCUUUAGCAUAUAUUGAUGGUUAUAUACUGAUUUUGGUUAGAUUUGGGGCAUUUGGAGGCCGAAUCGAGAGGCAAGGGCGUCACGGGCUAGAGGUUGGCUUGGCUUGAGAUAAGUAACGCUUCCAAACUUGGUUUUGAGGGCUCGAAACCCCGAACUAUGUGUUCUAUGAUUACUAUUGAGGUGACGCAAAUGCCAAGUGAUGGGCGUGUGGGCGUGUGGGCGUGCACCGUGAGAAUCGCGGCCUGGGUCAUUUCUAUGGCACCGCUUAGUUUCAUGUUGAUAUUUGUGUUGAAACUAUGUGAUUAAGUUAAUGAGCUGUAAAUCAUGCUAAUUAUCAUGUUAAGGCUUCACGCCAACACUGUUGAGACCCGAGAGGUCGUUUCUUGUUGUCAUGUCAUUAGCUUCAUUUAUAUUCUGUACUCAGUCCUGUUCAUGCAUAUUCAAUCAUGCCUCAGUCUCGAUUAUUGCUAUUUGACAUAUCAUAUCAUUGUUCGGGCUAGUAUCAUGAAAUCUUUGAGCCCGUGUGUGUGAGACUGGAGAGUAAUGACUGAGUGAGGCCGAGAGCCUGAUAUUGAGUGAUAGUAUGGGAUCGGGCUGCACGCCGCAACGAGAUCUUGAUCAAGCCUUCGUUGGCUUGAUAUAGCGCUUGGGCUAAGAGAAGCCCCUCCGGAGUCUUUACACCCCCAGUGAGCGCAGUUGAUGAUAUUGAGGGAUGGAUCUUCCCUGGACAUAGAUCUUGUCCGAAGUAUUGAUACCUGAAGAUGGAUCUUCUCUAUAAGGCUGGAAUGGCCUUCCUCGGUACUGGAUGACUACGAUCAGUGAUGUGUAUAUAUUCCGGGAUGGAUCUUCCCUGGGCCGGGUGGCCAUAUACAGUACCGAGUGGUUGAGCACUUGUGAGUGGAGGUAUACAGAACAUUGAUCAUGCUAUUUGUGCAUUGGUACUUAGAGAUUUCCAGAGCUUUAUACUCUGUACUGGUCAUGUUGUAUUUACUUACUGCUGAGCUUUUACUUGAACUGCAAGCAUGCCUACUUUUUUCGUACAGUUUAUUUGUAUACCUAUUGAGGUUUGGUUCAUCAUUACUGUCAGUCCAUAGUUUGGACUUGUUACUUACUGAGUUGGUGUACUCACGUUACCCCCUGCACCCCUGUGUGCAGAUCCAGGUAUCUCGGGGCAUGGUAGCAGUUGCUAAUCAUACCAGUUGGAGACUUUCUGUGGAGAGUGCGAGGUAGCUGCCUGGCGAUCGCAGUUCCGCCUUCUCCUUCCUUAUCUUCCUUGUAGUAAUUUUGUUGGAUAUUCCCAGACUAUGUAGUUUUGUUUAUUUUGAACAGUUGUAGUAUUUUGCUCAUGACUUAGUGACACUCGAGGUCGGGCUUGUACUUUCUUUCCACUCGUUUUGAUUUUAUACUAUUACCUUUUAUCGGA